UACGGAGGGUGCAAGCGUUAAUCGGAUUUAUUGGGCGUAAAGGGGGCGUAGGCGGGAAUGAAAGUCAGACGUGAAAUUCCGGGGCUCAACCUCGGAGCUGCGUUUGAAACUUCAUUUCUUGAGGCUAGUCGGAGAAAACGGAAUUCCACAAGUAGCGGUGAAAUGCGUAGAUAUGUGGAAGAACACCGGUGGCGAAGGCGGUUUUCUAGAUUAGUCCUGACGCUAAGGCCCGAAAGCGAGGGGAGCAAAC
rnacentral:rRNA from 1 species